rnacentral:rRNA from 1 species
UGGGGAAUAUUGGACAAUGGGGGCAACCCUGAUCCAGCAAUGCCGCGUGUGUGAAGAAGGUCUUCGGAUUGUAAAGCACUUUCGACGGGGACGAUGAUGACGGUACCCGUAGAAGAAGCCCCGGCUAACUUCGUGCCAGCAGCCGCGGUAAUACGAAGGGGGCUAGCGUUGCUCGGAAUGACUGGGCGUAAAGGGCGUGUAGGCGGUUUACACAGUCAGAUGUGAAAUCCCCGGGCUUAACCUGGGAGCUGCAUUUGAUACGUGUAGACUAGAGUGUGAGAGAGGGUUGUGGAAUUCCCAGUGUAGAGGUGAAAUUCGUAGAUAUUGGGAAGAACACCGGUGGCGAAGGCGGCAACCUGGCUCAUGAUUGACGCUGAGGCGCGAAAGCGUGGGGAGCAAAGCAGGAUUAGAUACCCUGGUAGUCCCACGCUGUAAACGAUGUGUGCUAGAUGUUGGGUAACUUUG